UACAGAGGUCCCGAGCGUUGUUCGGGUUCAUUGGGCGUAAAGGGUGCGUAGGCGGCGGGGCAAGUCUGAUGUGAAAUCCUGGGGCUCAACCCCAGAACUGCAUUGGAUACUGCCUUGCUUCAGUACUGGAGAGGGAACUGGAAUUUACGGUGUAGCAGUGAAAUGCGUAGAGAUCGUAAGGAAGGCCAGUGGCGAAGGCGAGUUCCUGGACAGUUACUGACGCUGAGGCACGAAGGCCAGGGGAGCAGACGGG
rnacentral:rRNA from 1 species